UACGUAGGUGGCAAGCGUUAUCCGGAUUUAUUGGGUGUAAAGGGCGUGUAGGCGGGAAUGCAAGUCAGAUGUGAAAACUAUGGGCUCAACCCAUAGCCUGCAUUUGAAACUGUAUUUCUUGAGUGCUGGGGAGGCAAUCGGAAUUCCGUGUGUAGCGGUGAAAUGCGUAGAUAUACGGAGGAACACCAGUGGCGAAGGCGGAUUGCUGGACAGUAACUGACGCUGAGGCGCGAAAGCGUGGGGAGCAAACAGG
rnacentral:rRNA from 1 species